UCCUUCCUGAGAUAUUGUGAA
rnacentral:piRNA from 1 species